UGAAAAAAAUACAGAAACAUC
rnacentral:piRNA from 1 species